GUGAGGUUUCUAUGCGACCCUCUGGAACGGUGUGCGCUGAUUUACACGAGUAUGACCUCAUCACUCCACCAGCAAGAAGUAGAGUCUGAUUCCUUUCUUGAAUCUGGACUGAUCUCAGUGACUCAUUUGUCAUCAUAGACUGAGGCAGACAUGACACUGCAUGACUUCAGAGGGUAUGUCAGAAGAAGACUUGCAUUCUAUGCUUUCAUCUCUUCUCACUGUCUGGUUGUUUCCUCUCAGAACAUGUCCUGUAGGAACCCAGCCAUCAGGCUGUGAGAAGCCCAUGACCCAUGGGCAGGCCAUGGGUAGGUGCUCCAGUUGAUAGUCUCAGCAGAGCUCAGCUUUUGCAUUAUCCAGCUCUAAGGACCAGACAUAUUAAUGAAGGAGAGUCCAGAUGAUUCCAGCUACUUAGCAUUCAAGUCACCGCCUAGUCAGUCCAGUCCUCCUAGCUGAGAUGCAACUAUCAUGGAGCAGAAAGAAGAUACCCCUACUCUGCUUGACCUUCAGAAUUCAUGAGCAUAAUAAAACAGUUGCUGUUUUAUGUCACUAAAUUUGAGGUGUUUAUUAUGCAGUAACAGAUAAAUAGAGCACAGACCUUGGGCAAUUUAUUUAAUUCUUCUGUGCCUUAGUUCAUUCUGUAAAAUGGGGAUGUAAUUGUACUUACCUUAAAGGGUUGUCAUUAAAAUUAAAUGAGCAAAUGCAUGUACAGCACUUAGAAUAGUUCUUGAGACAUAGCAAGGACUCAGUAAUUGCUGUUAAAUAGAGAACAGUUAGGAGCUAAAGGAAUUAAGAGGAGGAGGAGCUGAUAUAGUUGAAUCUGUCACCAAGGAGACCUAACUUGGGCUGAGUCCCAAAGGGUGAGUAUUUUCAAUAUGCAGAGGUUGUCAAGGAGAUUGGAAGGCUAUGUGCUUAAGCACAUGAACCCCAAAGUAGGACUGGCAUAUCGGUGGGACAGAACAAGGACCAGCAUGAGUGGUGCAUGUGUUGGGGAGGUGUGAGGGAAACUGAAGUGGUCGGGACCCUACUACAGAAGGCAUCAAAGGCCGAACAAAAGCCUCUGAGUUUUCUGUAGCAGAUAACAUGGAUCAAAUUUCUCUUGUGGGAUGUUAUUCUUCCAAGUAAAUUAUCAUUGUAAUGAUGGUCUCUACUCAUAUUCAUCAGACUGUUCUCUAAAUCUGUUGAAGCCCGUGGGUUCUAAUUAAAAUG
rnacentral:lncRNA from 10 species